GGUCUGGUGGUCUAGUGGUAUGAUUCUCGCUUAGGGUCCACCCUAUAGCUCAAUAUGCGAGAGGUCCCGGGUUCAAUCCCCGGCCAGACCC
rnacentral:tRNA from 1 species